CCUACGGGAGGCAGCAGUGAGGAAUAUUGGUCAAUGGGCGCGAGCCUGAACCAGCCAAGUCGCGUGAGGGAGGACGGCCCUACGGGUUGUAAACCUCUUUUGCCGGGGAGCAACGGGCGUCACGUGUGGCGCCACUGAGAGUACCCGGAGAAAAAGCAUCGGCAAACUCCGUGCCAGCAGCCGCGGUAAUACGGGGGCGGGGGGCUUUAUCCGGAUUUAUUGGGUUUAAGGGGUGCGUAGGCGGGUCGUAAAUUCAGUGGGAAAAUUGGGGGGCUCAACCCCUUCCCGCCAUUGAAACUGGCGCUCUUGAGUGGAAGAGAAGUAUGCGGAAUGCGUGGUGUAGCGGUGAAAUGCAUAGAUAUCACGCAGAACCCCGAUUGUGAAGGCAGCAUGCCGGCUUCCGACUGACGCUGAAGCACGAAAGCGUGGGGAUCGAACAGGAUUAGAUACCCUUGUAGUC
rnacentral:rRNA from 1 species